UACAGAGGUCUCAAGCGUUGUUCGGAUUCACUGGGCGUAAAGGGUGCGCAGGCGGCCGUGUGUGUGAGGCGUGAAAGCCCGGGGCUUAACCCCGGAAUUGCACCUCAAACUACACGGCUAGAGCAUUGGAGAGGGUAGCGGAAUUCACGGUGUAGCAGUGAAAUGCGUAGAUAUCGUGAGGAACACCAGAGGCGAAGGCGGCUACCUGGACAAUUGCUGACGCUCAGGCACGAAAGCGUGGGGAGCAAAAGGG
rnacentral:rRNA from 1 species